rnacentral:rRNA from 1 species
GAUGAACGCUGGCGGCGUGCUUAACACAUGCAAGUCGAACGGAAAGGCUCCUGCUUGCAGGGGUACUCGAGUGGCGAACGGGUGAGUAACACGUGGGUGAUCUGCCCUGCACUUCGGGAUAAGCCUGGGAAACUGGGUCUAAUACCGGAUAGGACGAUGGUUUGGAUGCCAUCGUGGAAAGUUUUUCGGUGUGGGAUGAGCUCGCGGCCUAUCAGCUUGUUGGUGGGGUAAUGGCCUACCAAGGCGUCGACGGGUAGCCGGCCUGAAAGGGUGUACGGCCACAUUGGGACUGAGAUACGGCCCAGACUCCUACGGGAGGCAGCAGUGGGGAAUAUUGCACAAUGGGCGCAAGCCUGAUGCAGCGACGCCGCGUGGGGGAUGACGGCCUUCGGGUUGUAAACUCCUUUCGCUAGGGACGAAGCGCAAGUGACGGUACCUGGAGAAGAAGCACCGGCUAACUACGUG